rnacentral:rRNA from 1 species
UGGGGAAUAUUGGACAAUGGGGGCAACCCUGAUCCAGCAAUGCCGCGUGAGUGAUGAAGGCCUUAGGGUUGUAAAGCUCUUUUACCAGGGAUGAUAAUGACAGUACCUGGAGAAUAAGCUCCGGCUAACUCCGUGCCAGCAGCCGCGGUAAUACGGAGGGAGCUAGCGUUGUUCGGAAUUACUGGGCGUAAAGCGCACGUAGGCGGUUACUCAAGUCAGAGGUGAAAGCCCGGGGCUCAACCCCGGAACUGCCUUUGAAACUAGGUAACUAGAAUCCUGGAGAGGUGAGUGGAAUUCCGAGUGUAGAGGUGAAAUUCGUAGAUAUUCGGAAGAACACCAGUGGCGAAGGCGGCUCACUGGACAGGUAUUGACGCUGAGGUGCGAAAGCGUGGGGAGCAAACA